AUAUUUAUAUAUGUAGACACACAUGCAUACACACACAUAUAAGCACAAAUAUGUGUAUGUAUAUGUGUGUGUAUGUAUACGUCUA
rnacentral:miRNA from 1 species